GCCGUCAUAGCUCAGUGGUUAGAGCACUGGUCUCGUAACUCAGCGGUCGUGAGUUCGAUCCUCAUUGGAGGCU